CCUACGGGUUAGAAAGAUCUGUCGUCAGGGACGAUAAUGACGGUACAUGAGGAGGAAGCCAGGGCUAACUACGUGCAAGCAGCAGCGGUAAGACGUAGGUGGCGAGAGUUGGCCGGAUUUACUGGGCGUAAAGGGAGCGUAGGCGGACUUUUAAGGGAGAGGUGAAAUACUCGGGCUCAACUUGAGUGCUGCAUUUCAAACUGUAAGUCUAGAGUGCAGGAGAGGAGAAUGGAAUUCCUAGUGUAGCGGUGACAUGCGUAGAGAUUAGGAAGAACACCAGGGGCGAAGGCGAUUCUCUGGACUGUACCUGCCGCUGCGGCUCGAACGCGUG
rnacentral:rRNA from 1 species